rnacentral:tRNA from 1 species
GCCGCAGUGGCACAACCUGGUACUGCGCGGGCCUUGAGAGCCCGUUCCCGCAAGGGUAUCCCGGUUCAAAUUUAGCGAAGAAAUUUGAUGCUUUGCAUUGAAAGUCCGGGCUGCGGCG